AGGCUUCAUUUCAUCCUUCGUGAAGCUUUUCAGGAUUUUGGCUUUCAUGUAAACGCUUGGCUCUGCCUUCUGUUCUCCUAGGGAGUGUGUCAGACCUUGCAACUACACAGAAUGCAGUUGUCUUGACCUCAGGUCUGUGUGUUCUCUUGGCAAGUAAUACAGUACUGUUCUGAUCCGCUGCUAUUAGAAUGCAUUUUGAAACGACUGGAGUAUGAGUCAAAGUUGUGUUUCCCCCAAUGCUUGGAGUGGAGUAGUGAUUGUUAAAAGAAAAUCCAGCUGAGUGAUAAAAGGCUGAGUGUUGAGGAAAUUUCUGCAGCUUUUUAAGCAUUCAUGUUUGUGAUUGGAGCGGAGUCCCUUUUGCUGUGCUUUUUUUUAGGAACAUUCAAAACAACAGACAGACGUAUGCGAAAGGCCAGAGAAGCCAGACCCAGUAAGGAAAAAUAGCUUGCUUACUUUUAAAAUAAUAAACCAAAAAACACUGCAUUUUAAAUGUGGGGAUUGGGAACCACUAGUUCUUUCAGAUGGUAUUCUUCAGACUAUAGAAGGAGCUUCCAGUUGAAUUCACCAGUGGACAAAAUGAGGACAACAGGUGAACAAGUUUUUUCUAUGUCUACAUACCAAGUCAGAUCUGUAUGAGUAAACAACAAUUCAGUGUUAAAUGACCUUUCAGCUUUACGCUGGAGUCAACAGCAUGAGCAAGUUGUUUGUUGGCCUGGGGGUGGAGGGGUGAGGUGGGCGCUAAGCCUUUUUUUUAAGAUUUUUCAGGUACCCCUCACUAAAGGCACCAAAGGCUUAAAGUAGGACAACCAUGGAGUCUUCCUGUGGCAAGAGAGACAACAAAGCGCUAUUAACUAAGCUUUUCCAGAAGCCUGUUAAAAAGCAAGGUCUCCCCACAAGUGACUUCUCUGCCACAUCGCCACCCUGUGCCUUUGGCCUAGCGCAGACCCUUCACCCCUCACCUCGAUGCUGCUGGUAGCUUGGAUCCUUGUGGGCAUGAUCCAUAAUCGCUUUUAAGGUAAUUGCCAAGGUCUUCCGGUGGGUUGCACUACUAGAAAAGACCAUUAAUUUACCUGUCAACAGGUAAUAUUUAGACCACAACUAAAAAGCUCUUAAAGUGUUGUAAAUGUGUGGCAUUAUCCAAUGACUUUAAAAAAACAUUUCAAACCAGUAAGUGGAGAAAUAGCAUCUAAGAACUGUCAUAUUGGGUGGGAGAGUACAUUUAUGAACUGAAAAGUGUUUUGGCAGUUGAGAGGGCUGU
rnacentral:lncRNA from 1 species